CCUACGGGAGGCAGCAGUGGGGAAUAUUGGACAAUGGGCGCAAGCCUGAUCCAGCCAUACCGCGUGGGUGAAGAAGGCCUUCGGGUUGUAAAGCCCUUUUGUUGGGAAAGAAAUCCAGCCGGCUAAUACCUGGUUGGGAUGACGGUACCCAAAGAAUAAGCACCGGCUAACUUCGUGCCGGCAGCCGCGGUAAUACGAAGGGUGCAAGCGUUACUCGGAAUUACUGGGCGUAAAGCGUGCGUAGGUGGUUGUUUAAGUCUGUUGUGAAAGCCCUGGGCUCAACCUGGGAACUGCAGUGGAAACUGGACAACUAGAGUGUGGUAGAGGGUAGCGGAAUUCCCGGUGUAGCAGUGAAAUGCGUAGAGAUCGGGAGGAACAUCCAUGGCGAAGGCAGCUACCUGGACCAACACUGACACUGAGGCACGAAAGCGUGGGGAGCAAACAGGAUUAGAUACCCUGGUAGUCCACGCCCUAAACGAUGCGAACUGGAUGUUGGGUGCAAUUUGGCACGCAGUAUCGANGCUAACGCGUUANGUUCGCCGCCUGGGGAGUACGGUCGCAAGACUGAAACUCAAAGGAAUUGACGG
rnacentral:rRNA from 1 species